AACGCAACUCGAUUACUCUUUUGAUCUUCAAACGUCCAACGCAAGGACGAAAGCGCGCUACAACAAAAAUCCGAAAUUUUUGUUUAGCACUUCUAGUUGGCUUAAAAAUUGUCUCUGAGAAGAUGCUUGAUUCGUACCAUACAAAUCGUAUAAGCCGAGAACCUAUCGCGGACUUUAAAUCGGUACGAAUCAAGAAGAAAUCGCAAUAGGAAAAACGAUAGCCGACUAGUCACCGCACAAACCUUAAACCGAAAGUAAGCCUAGGUCUUGCCC
rnacentral:lncRNA from 1 species